rnacentral:other from 1 species
AGCCUGGAAUGUGCGCGGGCUUUGUUAUGUCUAACCUACGUUUUUUAUAGGGAGCUUGAUUUGAUUCUGAUGGAGGUCCGCCUCGGCGAAUGCCAGAAGUCAGACUUAGGGCACCCACCUGCGAGCAGCAGGUUUUAGGCAUGAAAAGCGAACGGCAUUUUGGA